GACGAACGCUGGCGGCGUGCUAAUACAUGCAAGUCGAACGCACGAAGUUGAAGAGCUUGCUCUUUAACCAAGUGAGUGGCGGACGGGUGAGUAACACGUGGGUAACCUGCCCAUUAGAGGGGGAUAACAUUCGGAAACGGAUGCUAAUACCGCAUAGCUUCAGGAAUCGCAUGAUUCUUGAAGGAAAGGUGGCUUCGGCUACCACUAAUGGAUGGACCCGCGGCGUAUUAGCUAGUUGGUGAGGUAAUGGCUCACCAAGGCAAUGAUACGUAGCCGACCUGAGAGGGUGAUCGGCCACACUGGGACUGAGACACGGCCCAGACUCCUACGGGAGGCAGCAGUAGGGAAUCUUCCGCAAUGGACGAAAGUCUGACGGAGCAACGCCGCGUGAGUGAAGAAGGUUUUCGGAUCGUAAAACUCUGUUGUUAAAGAAGAACAAGGAUGAGAGUAACUGCUCAUCCCCUGACGGUAUUUAACCAGAAAGCCACGGCUAACUACGUGCCAGCAGCCGCGGUAAUACGUAGGUGGCAAGCGUUGUCCGGAUUUAUUGGGCGUAAAGCGAGCGCAGGCGGUUCUUUAAGUCUGAUGUGAAAGCCCCCGGCUCAACCGGGGAGGGUCAUUGGAAACUGGAGAACUUGAGUGCAGAAGGGGAGAGUGGAAUUCCACGUGUAGCGGUGAAAUGCGUAGAUAUGUGGAGGAACACCAGUGGCGAAGGCGACUCUCUGGUCUGUAACUGACGCUGAGGCUCGAAAGCGUGGGGAGCAAACAGG
rnacentral:rRNA from 1 species